AUGCUGAAUCUAAACAUGUAUUUAGAUUUUUGAUUUUUUGGCCCAGUUUUCAAGUUGGUCCAAAUUGGGGUCCAAAAUUAAACUUUGUUUGAUUUCAACAAAAAUUGAAUAUAUGGGGUUCUUUGAUAUGCUGAAUCUAACCAUGUAUUUAGAUUUUUUAUUUGUGGACCCCGCUAUCAAAUAUGUUCAUAUUGAGGUCAAAAGGGUCCAAAAUUAAACUUUGUUUGAUUUCAUCAAAAAUUGAAUAUAUGGGGUUCUUUGAUAUGCUGAAUCUAACCAUGUAUUUAGAUUUUUGAUUUUUGGGCCCCGUUAUCAACUUUGUUCACAUUGAGGUCAAAAGGGUCCAAAAUUAAACUUAGUUUGAUUUUAACAAAAAUUAAAUUCUUGGGGUUCUUUGAUAGGCUGAAUCUAAACAUGUGUUUAGAUUUUUGAUAAUGGGCCCAGUUUUCAAGUUGGUCCAAGUUGGGGUCCAAAAUUAAACUUUGUUUGAUUUCAACAAAAAUUGAAUAUAUGGGGUUCUUUGAUAUGCUGAAUCUAAACAUGUAUUUAGAUUUUAGAUUUUUGGCCCAGUUUUCAAGUUGGUCCAAAUUGGGGUCCAAAAUCAAACUUUGUUUGAUUUCAACAAAAAUUGAAUAUAUGGGGUUCUUUGAUAUGCUGAAUCUUACCAUGUAUUUAGAUUUUUUAUUUGUGGGCCCGCUAUCAAAUUGGUUCAUAUUGAGGUCAAAAGGGUCCAAAAUUAAACUUUGUUUGAUUUCAUCAAAAAUUGAAUUCUUGGGGUUCUUUGAUGUGCCGAAUCUAACCGUGUUUUUAGAUUUUUAAUUUUGGGUCCCAUUUUUAAAUUGGUCUACAUUAAGGUCCAAAGGGUCCAAAAUUAAACUUAGUUUGAUUUUAACAAAAAUUGAAUUCUUGGGGUUCUUUGAUAUGCUGAAUCUAAACAUGUAUUUAGAUUUUUGAUUUUUGGCCCAGUUUUCAAGUUGGUCCAAAUUGGGGUCCAAAAUUAAACUUUGUUUGAUUUCAACAAAAAUUGAAUAUAUGGGGUUCUUUGAUAUGCUGAAUCUAACCAUGUAUUUAGAUUUUUUAUUUGUGGACCCCGCUAUCAAAUUGGUUCAUAUUGAGGUCAAAAGGGUCCAAAAUUAAACUUUGUUUGAUUUCAACAAAAAUUGAAUAUAUGGGGUUCUUUGAUAUGCUGAAUCUAACCAUGUAUUUAGAUUUUUGAUUUUUGGGCCCCUUUAUCAACUUUGUCCACAUUGAGGUCAAAAGGGUCCAAAAUUAAACUUAGUUUGAUUUUAACAAAAAUUGAAUUCUUGGGGUUCUUUGAUAUGCUGAAUAUAAACAUGUGUUUAGAUUUUUGAUAAUGGGCCCAGUUUUCAAGUUGGUCCAAGUUGGGGUCCAAAAUUAAACUUUGUUUGAUUUCAACAAAAAUUGAAUAUAUGGGGUUCUUUGAUAUGCUGAAUCUAAACAUGUAUUUAGAUUUUAGAUUUUUGGCCCAGUUUUCAAGUUGGUCCAAAUUGGGGUCCAAAAUCAAACUUUGUUUGAUUUCAACAAGAAUUGAAUAUAUGGGGUUCUUUGAUAUGCUGAAUCUUACCAUGUAUUUAGAUUUUUUAUUUGUGGGCCCGCUUUCAAAUUGGUUCAUAUUGAGGUCAAAAGGGUCCAAAAUUAAACUUUGUUUGAUUUCAUCAAAAAUUGAAUUCUUGGGGUUCUUUGAUUUGCCGAAUCUAACCGUGUAUUUAGAUUUUUGAUUUUUGGGCCCCUUUAUCAACUUUGUCCAUAUUGAGGUCAAAAGGGUACAAAAUUAAACUUAGUUUGAUUUUAACAAAAAUUAAAUUCUUGGGGUUCUUUGAUAGGCUGAAUCUAAACAUGUGUUUAGAUUUUUGAUAAUGGGCCCAGUUUUCAAGUUGGUCCAAGUUGGGGUCCAAAAUUAAACUUUGUUUGAUUUCAACAAAAAUUGAAUAUAUGGGGUUCUUUGAUAUGCUGAAUCUAAACAUGUAUUUAGAUUUUAGAUUUUUGGCCCAGUUUUCAAGUUGGUCCAAAUUGGGGUCCAAAAUCAAACUUUGUUUGAUUUCAACAAAAAUUGAAUAUAUGGGGUUCUUUGAUAUGCUGAAUCUUACCAUGUAUUUAGAUUUUUUAUUUGUGGGCCCGCUAUCAAAUUGGUUCAUAUUGAGGUCAAAAGGGUCCAAAAUUAAACUUUGUUUGAUUUCAUCAAAAAUUGAAUUCUUGGGGUUCUUUGAUUUGCCGAAUCUAACCGUGUUUUUAGAUUUUUAAUUUUGGGUCCCAUUUUUAAAUUGGUCUACAUUAAGGUCCAAAGGGUCCAAAAUUAAACUUAGUUUGAUUUUAACAAAAAUUGAAUUCUUGGGGUUCUUUGAUAUGCUGAAUCUAAACAUGUAUUUAGAUUUUUGAUUUUUGGCCCAGUUUUCAAGUUGGUCCAAAUUGGGGUCCAAAAUUAAACUUUGUUUGAUUUCAACAAAAAUUGAAUAUAUGGGGUUCUUUGAUAUGCUGAAUCUAACCAUGUAUUUAGAUUUUUUAUUUGUGGACCCCGCUAUCAAAUUGGUUCAUAUUGAGGUCAAAAGGGUCCAAAAUUAAACUUUGUUUGAUUUCAACAAAAAUUGAAUAUAUGGGGUUCUUUGAUAUGCUGAAUCUAACCAUGUAUUUAGAUUUUUGAUUUUUGGGCCCCUUUAUCAACUUUGUCCACAUUGAGGUCAAAAGGGUCCAAAAUUAAACUUAGUUUGAUUUUAACAAAAAUUGAAUUCUUGGGGUUCUUUGAUAUGCUGAAUCUAAACAUGUGUUUAGAUUUUUGAUAAUGGGCCCAGUUUUCAAGUUGGUCCAAGUUGGGGUCCAAAAUUAAACUUUGUUUGAUUUCAACAAAAAUUGAAUAUAUGGGGUUCUUUGAUAUGCUGAAUCUAAACAUGUAUUUAGAUUUUAGAUUUUUGGCCCAGUUUUCAAGUUGGUCCAAAUUGGGGUCCAAAAUCAAACUUUGUUUGAUUUCAACAAGAAUUGAAUAUAUGGGGUUCUUUGAUAUGCUGAAUCUUACCAUGUAUUUAGAUUUUUUAUUUGUGGGCCCGCUUUCAAAUUGGUUCAUAUUGAGGUCAAAAGGGUCCAAAAUUAAACUUUGUUUGAUUUCAUCAAAAAUUGAAUUCUUGGGGUUCUUUGAUUUGCCGAAUCUAACCGUGUAUUUAGAUUUUUGAUUUUUGGGCCCCUUUAUCAACUUUGUCCAUAUUGAGGUCAAAAGGGUACAAAAUUAAACUUAGUUUGAUUUUAGCAAAAAUUGAAUUCUUGGGGUUCUUUGAUAUGCUGAAUCUAAACAUGUAUUUAGAUUUUUGAUUUUUGGCCCAGUUUUCAAGUUGGUCCAAAAUGGGGUCCAAAAUUAAACUUUGUUUGAUUUCAACAAAAAUUGAAUAUAUGGGGUUCUUUGAUAUGCUGAAUCUAACCAUGUAUUUAGAUUUUUUAUUUGUGGACCCCGCUAUCAAAUUGGUUCAUAUUGAGAUCAAAAGGGUCCAAAAUUAAACUUUGUUUGAUUUUAACAAAAAUUGAAUUCUUGGGGUUCUUUGAUAUGCUGAAUCUAAACAUGUGUUUAGAUUUUUGAUAAUGGGCCCAGUUUUCAAGUUGGUCCAAGUUGGGGUCCAAAAUUAAACUUUGUUUGGUUUCAACAAAAAUUGAAUAUAUGGGGUUCUUUGAUAUGCUGAAUCUAAACAUGUAUUUAGAUUUUAGAUUUUUGGCCCAGUUUUCAAGUUGGUCCAAAUUGGGGUCCAAAAUUAAACUUUGUUUGAUUUCAACAAAAAUUGAAUAUAUGGGGUUCUUUGAUAUGCUGAAUCUUACCAUGUAUUUAGAUUUUUUAUUUGUGGGCCCGCUAUCAAAUUGGUUCAUAUUGAGGUCAAAAGGGUCCAAAAUUAAACUUUGUUUGAUUUCAUCAAAAAUUGAAUUCUUGGGGUUCUUUGAUAUGCCAAAUCUAACCGUGUUUUUAGAUUUUUAAUUUUGGGUCCCAUUUUUAAAUUGGUCUACAUUAAGGUCCAAAGGGUCCAAAAUUAAACUUAGUUUGAUUUUAACAAAAAUUGAAUUCUUGGGGUACUUUGAUAUGCUGAAUCUAAACAUGUGUUUAGAUUUUUGAUUAUGGGACUAGUUUUCAAGUUUGUCCAAGUUGGGGUCCAAAAUUAAACUUUGUUUGAUUUCAACAAAAAUUGAAUAUAUGGGGUUCUUUGAUAUGCUGAAUCUAACCAUGUAUUUUGAUUUUGGACAUUGGACCAUAAUAGGUAAAUUAAAAAAAUUGAAGUUCUUAGACCACAUUCUUUCUGUGUCAGAAACCUAUGCUGUGUCAAAUAUUUAAUCACAAUCCAAAUUCAGAGCUGUAUCAAGCUUGAAUGUUGUGUCCUUACUUGCCCCAACUGUUCAGGGUUCGACCUCUGCGGUCUUAUCAAGCUGCGCCCAGCGAAGCAUUUUAUUUAAUGACUAAAACCCAAUAACUCAGAAAUGAUAAAUGAAAAAUUUAUAAAAUUCUAAACAGAGCUUAUAUCAAUAGAUAUAAACAAUUCACCAAAGUUUUAUAAGAACUGCUGAAAGCAUUUUUUAUUUUUGUCCGAAAACUGGAAAAUCCCCCUUUUUUAUGAAUAAAACCCCAUAACUCGGAAACGUAAAAUCUAAAAUUUCUAAAAAACGAAAGGGAGCUCACGUCAAUAGACAU